rnacentral:rRNA from 1 species
GUACGCUGGCGGCACGCCUUAUACAUGCAAGUCGAACGAAGUAGAAAUACUUAGUGGCAGACGGGUGAGUAACAUGUAGGUAUCUUCCCUUUGGUGAGAAAUAACACGAGGAAACUUGUGCUAAUAUCUCAUAAGUCUUUACGGAGAAAGCUUUAUGCGCCGAAGGAUGAGCCUGCACUUGAUUAGUUUGUUGGUGGGGUAAUGGCCCACCAAGACUUUGAUCAAUAGCUGAUCUGAGAGGAUGAUCAGCCACAUUGGGACUGAGACACGGCCCAAACUCCUACGGGAGGCAGCAGUAGGGAAUAUUGCACAAUGGAGGAAACUCUGAUGCAGCGAUGCCGCGUGAGUGAAGAAGGCCCUUGGGUUGUAAAGCUCUUUCGUCGGGGAAGAAAAUGACUGUACCCGAAUAAGAAGGUCCGG